GAUGAACGCUGGCGGCGUGCCUAAUACAUGCAAGUCGAGCGAACAGACGAGGAGCUUGCUCCUCUGCCGUUAGCGGCGGACGGGUGAGUAACACGUGGAUAACCUACCUAUAAGACUGGGAUAACUUCGGGAAACCGGAGCUAAUACCGGAUAAUAUAUUGAACCGCAUGGUUCAAUAGUGAAAGACGGUUUUGCUGUCACUUAUAGAUGGAUCCGCGCCGCAUUAGCUAGUUGGUAAGGUAACGGCUUACCAAGGCAACGAUGCGUAGCCGACCUGAGAGGGUGAUCGGCCACACUGGAACUGAGACACGGUCCAGACUCCUACGGGAGGCAGCAGUAGGGAAUCUUCCGCAAUGGCCGAAAGCCUGACGGAGCAACGCCGCGUGAGUGAUGAAGGUCUUCGGAUCGUAAAACUCUGUUAUUAGGGAAGAACAAAUGUGUAAGUAACUAUGCACGUCUUGACGGUACCUAAUCAGAAAGCCACGGCUAACUACGUG
rnacentral:rRNA from 1 species